rnacentral:rRNA from 1 species
GACGAACGCUGGCGGCGUGCUUAACACAUGCAAGUCGAACGGAAAGGCCUGCUUUCCCUUGUGGAUUGCGGGUACUCGAGUGGCGAACGGGUGAGUAACACGUGAGUGAUCUGCCCCCAACUUGGGUAUAAGCCUGGGAAACUGGGUCUAAUUCCCGAUAGGACUGCAGGGUGGUGCCUGUGGUGGAAAACGAUUUUCUAGUGGUUGGGGAUGAGCUCGCGGCCUAUCAGCUUGUUGGUGGGGUAAUGGCCUACCAAGGCGGCGACGGGUAGCCGGCCUGAGAGGGUGGACGGCCACAUUGGGACUGAGAGACGGCCCAGACUCCUACGGGAGGCAGCAGUGGGGAAGAUUGCACAAUGGGCGGAAGCCUGAUGCAGCGACGCCGCGUGGGGGAUGACGGCCUUCGGGUUGUAAACUCCUUUCGACCGCGAGGAAGCCACCUGGUUGGAAGGGUGGUGACGGUAGUGGUAGAAGAAGCACCGGCUAACUACGUG